rnacentral:misc_RNA from 1 species
UCACCCCCUCCCCCGUGAGGAUGAUGAUGAGGAUGAUGCCGGCCACCUCACCGCGGUAUCAGGGCCUCACUACACCCUCACUCUUUGUGGGGAUGCCAAGCAGCCGUCCUGCGGCCUGCCCUCGCGUGUUGGCUGCCGACUCUUGAUGCCGGCGGACAGGUGUGGGUUGGCGCCGUGCCAAAGAGACUUGCGGCCACGACGCCACUUUUACCGGCCGACUGCGCAUCCUGUCGACAAUUCGCGAAAGCUUGAUACACCCUCUCCCGCCCAAAGGCCCGCGGAUUCAGGAGAGGGCGGAAUGCCCCUGCCCGCCACACAGACUCACAGCAGCGUCCCGCCUGUCGCGGCACAUGCGAGCAAGCCAUCCAGACACACGCCCCCAGGCAACAACGCCGUCCUGAAGCCGGCCCCGGGAUCCGAAAAUGCGGGCACUGCACACGCGCUGCCAGCGGUAGCUGGCAUGGUGCAUCCCAGCAGGACAUGCAGGGGUCGGAGGGGCGCGAGUGAUGGACGAGCGGGGCGUGAAGCGAUCCAUACGAAUCAGCCCCAGCGCGCAUGGGUGUGGCACACGCGGCAUCUCCUACAUCCCGACCGGGUGGGCCGAUGAGGCGCAGACGCCGGAAGCGUAACGGGGACACCCCGAGUCGCACCAUCGAGUCCUGCCGACGCCGGUGUGAAGAGUCACCGCACCGCAUUGUGGAAUGCCGCUGCCUGAGGCGACUGAGAGGGCGGAGCAUGGCACAUAGGCAAUGGGGGUGCAGGGUCUCAGCGGGGGCUCUGACCUGCGGCUGGCGAGCCUCCUUCUCGAGCUCGGGCGGCAUGCGCCUGCACCAUCCCCUGCUGUCGCCGCGCGCCGGACGCCACCGCUUCCGCCCUCGAGUGCAGGACCCUGAACGCGGCCCGCCGUGGAUGAAGGCCUGCAGUACACCCAGGCCCGUGCGGUGCCGGUCGAGCGGGGUGUAUGCGGCAGGAGUGGACGAGGAAGGAGAGGGAGAGCUCGAUAGAGACGCGUGGCCCGACUCGACGGCAGGACGGCUCGUGCCGGUCGACCAGGACUCCGCCGUGGGGCGGCAGAGGUCGGUGAACUGUGGUUGUGCAUUGCAUCGAUCAGCGGACUUGUUCGUGGUGGCAUGAGGCGUUCCAAAAAAAAACGAGAAGAAAAAGGCGGUAUCACUCGUCCUCCCUGCUCCUGUUCGGCUCGAUGCGUGGAUGUGCAUGCCUACUUGUGCAGGCCUGUGCCUGCCGGUGGAUGCGUGCGGUUUUCGUACGCUUACGGGUGUGCCAGCACGCGCCAUGUCACGCACCAUCAUCGCCCUUAUCGUGGCAAGCGCUAUCAUCCUUUUCUGGAUGCUUUCUUCUUUCCGCGUGGUGGAGGGACCCCGCAGCGAUUCCCGAGGCACUCAGAGGAAUCGAGGGGCAGCACUGAACGCAGUCUUGUUGCACAUAUGCCGCUCUCCGCAUGCAAGCACACGCGUCUUCCGACUUCCCCUCUCCCUUCGCACCACACCGCUGCUCAAG